rnacentral:tRNA from 1 species
ACUUUAAUAGCUUAUUAAGAGCAUAAUAUUGAAGAUAUUAAGGAAAUAUAAAAUUUUAAAGUA